GCUUAUUUAUUCUCUUUUCUGCAAACUGUGCUUUAAGCCGUAUGAAAUGUUCAUGAGUACUGUCAUUGCUUCUAAUCUGGAUUUUCACAUGACUUUGUGGAUACAUCUCUCAUUGAUAACAUCUAAAAUAACUUCAAAAGACUGAUAAGUGAUGUGCGCUUGGCCGGUCACAAUGAUCUUCGGUGCUAUUACUGGAAUAGAACAACCAACUUCACUGGAUAAUUAUACUUGAUUGACUAGCAUAAGCAAAUAAUAUGAAGUGCCAAGCACUUAAAAGGUAUUGAUCAUUCUCAGUGACUCCUAUUAGUUCUUCUGUGUCAUUUUACAUCCUUUAACAUUUGCUCAAUAUUGAUGACUGCGUAUUUCAAUAAACUCACAGAAUUUGACUUUCUUCAUAGAAUGCUUGCAUGGCAGUGAAGCUGUAAUAUCUACUCAGACAGUUCUCACAUCCUAAUUAUCUCUAGCAUGUGAGUGAUUUUAUCUAUGCAUUAUCCACUUAUUAUAUAAAUGAGUUCAAAUUUCCAGUUGCAGGAUGUUGAUGAAUGACACACUGUCAAUGGCAGAUCCUUGAACUUACCAAAAAAAAGAAAAAAAGGAAAGAAAAGAAAGAAAGGUAGAUCCUUCAACUUAUACUUAUAUGAUGAACAAAAUAUUCCAGUUCAGAUUCAAUUACUAUAUGCUGAUAUGCCAGUAGCUAGGGACUUCAUUUUUCUUGUUUAGAGGCUUAUUACCAUCAUUUUUAUUGCUUUUUGUGCUAUUUAACUCGUUACAAAGCCUUGUUUUUAGUGUAACUCUAUUGGAUUCUAUGUCAAUUUCAUCGCUGAUAUGAACAAUUAAGAUUACUGGAAAAUCUUUUACUCUCAACAUUGUGAGUUCUAACCUGCUAAAGUUAGCAGAUGCUAAUUUUUAUUUCGAGUCAGCUUGAGGAUGGUUGCACUGUGGCAAUGCAUUUUUCUAUUGGUUAAAUGGUGGAUCAUCUCCCAUAUAAAUAAAAAGAAAGAAAAGAAAGAAAGAAAGAAAAAAAAGGAAAAAAAAUGGUGGAUCAUCAAUCUUACAUGACAAUAAUAUUCUAUUUAGCUUGUCAAAAAGCCUUGUUUUAGUGUAACUCUGCUGGGUUCUAUAUCAGUUUCAUCGCUGAUAUUGAAUAAUUAAGAUUACUGGAAAAUUUGUUACUUUCAACAUAGAGAGUUCUAACUAGCUGAAGCAAGCAGAUGUUAAUUUUUAUUUCGAAUCAGCUUGAGGAUGGUUGGACUGUGGCAAUGCAUUUUUCUAUUGGUUAAAUGGUGGAUCAUCAAUCUUACAUGACAAUUUUCUGUUGUAGGCAAUGUGAUGGUAGUUGGCUUUUCUAACAUAAAUUCUUCAACUAAUUAAGGCGUAGUGAUGGCUAAAGGAAAUUGUUUGCUAAUGAAGAUCCAGUCAUCCUCUGAUCAGCUGCUAUUAUGUAGCUUGGGUAUUUUUUAUAUUAACAUAAACAGUUAGGGGUGAACCGCUGAUAUGUACCUUGGGUAUUUUUUAUAUUAACAUCAACGGUUAAGGGUGAAGGAUGGAACAUUUCAUUUUGCAUGACAACUUGGUAAUUUGAAAUAUACUUGUAUAAUCAUAUUACCGUACAAGGAAUGUUUAUCUUGGACUUAUGAAUAGGGAUUUUCCAGACCAAACAACUCUUUGGCUCAAUUGAUUUGUACCCGAAGUUGACAUCCUCUUACUUUUGUUUCACAUCAAAGUCUUUCCUACAAACGUGUAUUGUCCAACAAGAUGAGGGAUUUUAACUUUGUUAAUUAAAAAUUUCUUUUCUAUGGUAGAAAUGUGAUUCUCAAACAAUUAAGAACUGUCAAGGUAGUGAAACGGCACAUGAAUAAAUCAUCUUCUUAGAGGGAACAAGGUUUGACGAACCAAGACAUUGAUUAUGGAUGUUCUAAUGAAAUUCAGCUGUGACAUUGAAGUUUAUUUUAUGCCGUUGAUGUUGUCCUGUUUCGUUACAUUCUGUUUUGUUUCUAAAGUGGCAAAAGUUGAAGUUUCCCUGAAGUAGUCACUCAAGAAUAAUGUGGAGCACUCCCCAGUUGCACAAGUGACCUCUACAUACUGGAGAGCUGUCCAUAAGCUACUCUAGGUCCAGAACACCAUUUCGGAGUCCCAGAAGCACCAGCAUUCUGCAUUGCUAUAUGAUUCCCUACAACAGCAGUCCUCGCAGGCACCAACUGGUCUGUUUAUGCUGUCUCCAUGCUACUCAUUCUCAUAUAGACCACACUAAUAAGCAUAAACGAGAACCAACCCCCACCAACCCC